GCGUUGUCCGGAAUCAUUGGGCGUAAAGAGCGUGUAGGCGGCCCGAUGAGUCCGCUGUGAAAUUCCAGGGCUCAACCCUGGAAUGCCGGUGGAUACUGUCGGGCUAGAGUUCGGAAGAGGUGAGUGGAAUUCCUGGUGUAGCGGUGAAAUGCGCAGAUAUCAGGAGGAACACCAAUGGCGAAGGCAGCUCACUGGGACGAUACUGACGCUGAGACGCGAAAGCGUG
rnacentral:rRNA from 1 species